UGGGUAACCUGCCUCAAAGAGGGGAAUAGCCUCCCGAAAGGGAGAUUAAUACCGCAUAAUAUGUUUUAAUCGCAUGAUUUUAACAUCAAAGGAUUUUCUUAGGAAAUUCCACUUUGAGAUGGACCCCGCGGCGCAUUAGCUAGUUGGUGAGGUAACGGCUCACCAAGGCAACGAUGCGUAGCCGACCUGAGAGGGUGAUCGGCCACAUUGGAACCGAGACACGGUCCAGACUCCGUACGGGAGCAG
rnacentral:rRNA from 1 species